rnacentral:rRNA from 1 species
GGGUUGUGAGGUUAAGCGACUAAGCGUACACGGUGGAUGCCCUGGCAGUCAGAGGCGAUGAAGGACGUGCUAAUCUGCGAUAAGCGUCGGUAAGGUGAUAUGAACCGUUAUAACCGGCGAUUUCCGAAUGGGGAAACCCAGUGUGAUUCGUCACACUAUCAUUAACUGAAUCCAUAGGUUAAUGAGGCGAACCGGGGGAACUGAAACAUCUAAGUACCCCGAGGAAAAGAAAUCAACCGAGAUUCCCCCAGUAGCGGCGAGCGAACGGGGAGCAGCCCAGAGCCUGAAUCAGUGUGUGUGUUAGUGGAAGCGUCUGGAAAGGCGCGCGAUACAGGGUGACAGCCCCGUACACAAAAAUGCACAUGCUGUGAGCUCGAUGAGUAGGGCGGGACACGUGGUAUCCUGUCUGAAUAUGGGGGGACCAUCCUCCAAGGCUAAAUACUCCUGACUGACCGAUAGUGAACCAGUACCGUGAGGGAAAGGCGAAAAGAACCCCGGCGAGGGGAGUGAAAAAGAACCUGAAACCGUGUACGUACAAGCAGUGGGAGCCUCUUUAUGGGGUGACUGCGUACCUUUUGUAUAAUGGGUCAGCGACUUAUAUUCUGUAGCAAGGUUAACCGAAUAGGGGAGCCGAAGGGAAACCGAGUCUUAACUGGGCGUUAAGUUGCAGGGUAUAGACCCGAAACCCGGUGAUCUAGCCAUGGGCAGGUUGAAGGUUGGGUAACACUAACUGGAGGACCGAACCGACUAAUGUUGAAAAAUUAGCGGAUGACUUGUGGCUGGGGGUGAAAGGCCAAUCAAACCGGGAGAUAGCUGGUUCUCCCCGAAAGCUAUUUAGGUAGCGCCUCGUGAACUCAUCUCCGGGGGUAGAGCACUGUUUCGGCAAGGGGGUCAUCCCGACUUACCAACCCGAUGCAAACUGCGAAUACCGGAGAAUGUUAUCACGGGAGACACACGGCGGGUGCUAACGUCCGUCGUGAAGAGGGAAACAACCCAGACCGCCAGCUAAGGUCCCAAAGUCAUGGUUAAGUGGGAAACGAUGUGGGAAGGCCCAGACAGCCAGGAUGUUGGCUUAGAAGCAGCCAUCAUUUAAAGAAAGCGUAAUAGCUCACUGGUCGAGUCGGCCUGCGCGGAAGAUGUAACGGGGCUAAACCAUGCACCGAAGCUGCGGCAGCGACGCUGAUGCGUUGUUGGGUAGGGGAGCGUUCUGUAAGCCUGUGAAGGUGUGCUGUGAGGCAUGCUGGAGGUAUCAGAAGUGCGAAUGCUGACAUAAGUAACGAUAAAGCGGGUGAAAAGCCCGCUCGCCGGAAGACCAAGGGUUCCUGUCCAACGUUAAUCGGGGCAGGGUGAGUCGACCCCUAAGGCGAGGCCGAAAGGCGUAGUCGAUGGGAAACAGGUUAAUAUUCCUGUACUUGGUGUUACUGCGAAGGGGGGACGGAGAAGGCUAUGUUGGCCGGGCGACGGUUGUCCCGGUUUAAGCGUGUAGGCUGGUUUUCCAGGCAAAUCCGGAAAAUCAAGGCUGAGGCGUGAUGACGAGGCACUACGGUGCUGAAGCAACAAAUGCCCUGCUUCCAGGAAAAGCCUCUAAGCAUCAGGUAACAUCAAAUCGUACCCCAAACCGACACAGGUGGUCAGGUAGAGAAUACCAAGGCGCUUGAGAGAACUCGGGUGAAGGAACUAGGCAAAAUGGUGCCGUAACUUCGGGAGAAGGCACGCUGAUAUGUAGGUGAAGUCCCUCGCGGAUGGAGCUGAAAUCAGUCGAAGAUACCAGCUGGCUGCAACUGUUUAUUAAAAACACAGCACUGUGCAAACACGAAAGUGGACGUAUACGGUGUGACGCCUGCCCGGUGCCGGAAGGUUAAUUGAUGGGGUCAGCGCAAGCGAAGCUCUUGAUCGAAGCCCCGGUAAACGGCGGCCGUAACUAUAACGGUCCUAAGGUAGCGAAAUUCCUUGUCGGGUAAGUUCCGACCUGCACGAAUGGCGUAAUGAUGGCCAGGCUGUCUCCACCCGAGACUCAGUGAAAUUGAACUCGCUGUGAAGAUGCAGUGUACCCGCGGCAAGACGGAAAGACCCCGUGAACCUUUACUAUAGCUUGACACUGAACAUUGAGCCUUGAUGUGUAGGAUAGGUGGGAGGCUUAGAAGUGUGGACGCCAGUCUGCAUGGAGCCGACCUUGAAAUACCACCCUUUAAUGUUUGAUGUUCUAACGUUGACCCGUAAUGCGGGUUGCGGACAGUGUCUGGUGGGUAGUUUGACUGGGGCGGUCUCCUCCUAAAGAGUAACGGAGGAGCACGAAGGUUGGCUAAUCCUGGUCGGACAUCAGGAGGUUAGUGCAAUGGCAUAAGCCAGCUUGACUGCGAGCGUGACGGCGCGAGCAGGUGCGAAAGCAGGUCAUAGUGAUCCGGUGGUUCUGAAUGGAAGGGCCAUCGCUCAACGGAUAAAAGGUACUCCGGGGAUAACAGGCUGAUACCGCCCAAGAGUUCAUAUCGACGGCGGUGUUUGGCACCUCGAUGUCGGCUCAUCACAUCCUGGGGCUGAAGUAGGUCCCAAGGGUAUGGCUGUUCGCCAUUUAAAGUGGUACGCGAGCUGGGUUUAGAACGUCGUGAGACAGUUCGGUCCCUAUCUGCCGUGGGCGCUGGAGAACUGAGGGGGGCUGCUCCUAGUACGAGAGGACCGGAGUGGACGCAUCACUGGUGUUCGGGUUGUCAUGCCAAUGGCACUGCCCGGUAGCUAAAUGCGGAAGAGAUAAGUGCUGAAAGCAUCUAAGCACGAAACUUGCCCCGAGAUGAGUUCUCCCUGACUCCUUGAGAGUCCUGAAGGAACGUUGAAGACGACGACGUUGAUAGGCCGGGUGUGUAAGCGCAGCGAUGCGUUGAGCUAACCGGUACUAAUGAACCGUGAGGCUUAACCUUACAACGCCGAAGCUGUU